ACGGCCUUUAGUUGUCAUUCAUACUCCACGUUUCCUUGUAUAGGCUCCGCUUUCAUAAGCAACAUCUCUAUUGAGGCAAGAGUGUCACAGGAGAAAAAAAGCUGGAAACAGCCUUGAUUCCAAGAGUGUUUCAGACCACUGAUUUUUAUCACCGAGAUUGGCCAAGAUGGUGGAGUAGAAAAACCCUGAGCUCACCUCCUCUCACGAGCACAUCAAAAUCACAGCUGUCUGCGGAACAACCAUUGAUGAAAAAGACUAGAACCUAUCAGAAAAGAUCUUCUACAACUAAAGACAUAAAGAAGGAACAACAACG